UGUGCUCUAUUUCCUCUCCAGGUACAAGAGUCACUUCAGAAUCAAGUACUUGGUGCCCCUGAUGGACAUGUGGGUGGAACCCAACAUGAGGAAAGCUGCUAGAGCCCGCACAUCGCUGGUCUUCGGCUGGGCUGACUGCAGCUUCGUGGUCUCUUUUCAAUCAGUUGAGAAGAUGGAGCAAUGGUACAACAAGCUUUCUGACAAAAUUUAUACCGCCAUUCUCGAAUACCUGGAUACCAACCAAGAGGAGGCAGAACACACCUGUG